GACGUAGGUGGCGAACGUUAUCCGGAAUUAUUGGGCGUAAAGGAUGCGUAGAUGGUGUAGUAAGUUAUCGGUGGUAAAUCGAGGCUCAACCUCGUGGAAGUCGGUAAUACUGCUAUGCUAGAGGAUAGAAGAGGUUAACGGAACUCCCUGUGGAGCGGUGAAAUGCGUAGAGAUCGGAAAGAACACCAACGGCGAAAGCACUCUGCUGGGCCGACACUGACACUGAGAGACGAAAGCUAGGGGAGCGAAUGGG
rnacentral:rRNA from 1 species